UGCUCUUCAUCCGGAAGAUAAUUACCACUCCGGAUUUUUUUUCUCCAUCUAAAACAGCCCGUACCGGUUCCCGUACUGGCCUGUGGCCUCGCUCCUCUCUCCCUCCUCUCGUCGAUCCCUAUCCACUCCAAAGAAAAGGAAAAUAACUCCAUCGGCACCUGGUUCUUCAUCCACACGCAUCAUUUCGCCAGAUUUGCUGCCGGCGAAGGUGGCCGGGUGAGUGCGUGAACGCGUUUGAUGCGGUCUUCAGGGUGCAGAUGCUCGCCCACCUCGGCGAGUCCGGCAGCGAGGCCAUCAGGAGGUCCGGCGACUAGCGACGGUGAUGGAUGUGCUGGAGGUUGGUGGCGUUGAGGGGGCAGUAAGGAAGCUCACGGAGAAGGGUGUGGAUUUCCUAGAUGAGUUCGUGCAAUGGAUAAUGGUCGGAUCUGAGGAGCGGGGCAGAGACUUGCACUGCGGCUAUGCUUCAUGAGAGCUAUGGGGUUAUGUAGACAAAUGUGAGAUCGUGCCAUAAGCAAAUGACAUCAAGAUCUGAGCACCGUUGCAGACGGCCUCGAGUUAUUUUCCUCUUCAUCUCCUACAAAAUGUUGCUUGCAUGGUCAAUUUGGGCAUCGGUUUGUUAAGCAGCAAAAGCUCGCAUGUUGAAUCUAGUCAACUCAAGUAUGUUUCCACCAGAAAACUCAAUCGUGUAGUGUAUGGAAUGACAUGUUUAUUUAGUUUCUACUAAUUAGUUUGGAUAACCUCUGAUCAUCCGAUGAAGUAACUGAGAAGAAAUUUUGGUCAUGUUAUUACUUCCCAUUUUUUAUACCUAUGCAAUUAAUGUUAUUUGUUGCUGGUUUUGCUGUGGCGCCAAGUCUAAAUGAGGGAACCUUGUAAUUAUUCAAAGCAAGAUCCAUGUGUUGACAUAGGAUGGAUUUUCUACAAAAUGCCUAUAAUAUCAGAGCUUUUCUAAUAUUCUCUUAACUGAAAAAGGCUGUUGGAUAGAUAGCUAUUAUGAAGAACAGAAAACUCAUAUAUCAAGUAAUUACAACAUGACAUGCUUCUGGUAGUGCUAACUUCAGCCGUUCAGCGCCUUGUUAUGUAAUACGUGUCGUUAUAUUGGUAGAUGUCAAGUGCUCUUCUCUAUCUCAGUUAUGGUCUGCCUUAGUUUCAGUCUAAGCUAUAUUAAUCAACUAAUUUUGUGGGUAACCUCCUUGUUCGCCUAGGUUUUUUUGGCUACUGUAUCUUCGAACUGACCACUUCUCUUGUAGCAUUUUUCAUCAACACUUCCGGUCUUGUGGCCAUAAACCUCUUUGGUCAUUUUAUGUGAUCUCCUUAUGGCUGCAGUAUCAGUACAUCUUAUUUUGCCACAACUGGCAACUGAGUCUUCAUCUUCAAGCAUUGCAGUUUUUACUUCCGCUUCAACAUGUUUCUUGUUCCCAGCAUACAUCUCUCCUUUCUUGUACACUUAUCUUGGUGUAUUCAUCCUCUGAGCCAUCCGAUAAUAUGAUAGAUCUCUAUCAUUUUCUUUUGUCAUUGCAGAGUCCAUGUGAUGUUUAUGUUUUUUUUCUUCACACCCAUCAUCAUGUACUAUAGCCCCAUUAGUAUCGUGUGGUUCUUCUUACAUAGAAACAAAUUGUCAUAUCCUUUUCUGAGGUGAAUCUCUAUUGUUAUUUGUCUGCAAAAUAAAAAUACAUUUCAAAGAUUACACGUGUCUCUAAAAAUUGAGAAGUAGUACUCUGAGAAAAUUAAUCACCCUUUAGCCUCUAUGUUAUGCUUCUUUGUUGCUUUUUUUAACACGGCGUCAACUUCAUCAUGAAAAAUUCUGAGAAUCAUAUGUGAGAUGUAUUAGUUAGGAAAAUACAAACACAAUACUUCUUUUGUAAUGGAUAAAGGCAAAUUUUCCUCCUCGGCUUUAUCUUUCAGGUCCAUCAUCUCAAGCCUAUCAUCACACACAAAUGUUCUUUUUACUGCAUAGUUUUUUGUUCUGAAAGUGAGAUUGCCAUCGCUGAACAUGAGCUGAAAAUAAGUGUUUGUCGACAUUAUUAUUAUGUAAUCUUUGGCGCUUCUUCAUAUUUCUCAUCCAGUGAAUUUAGCAAGUUCGAGACAAAUGUAUUGAACAAUUUUUCAGCCUCACCGUCAAAUAAAGUGCAACUUGUAGUAGUUGUACAGUCAUUAAUUUAUUGUCAAAUACGAUAACUAUCAUACGAUUGUUAUUAGUGUAGAGUAAAUGUAAUAGGAAAGAAGUCUUCUUCAAAUUAGUAGAAUAUGCUUACCGAGGUGAUACAUCAUCUCGAUAUGUAUCACAACUCUCGUAACAGUACUUGCCAACUUCCUUCUUAUCUAGUUUGUGAAAAUCCUCACAUCACAUAUACCAGCUUUGAAUAUGAUCACUUGUAGCUAUUACUGUGAACACAAAAUCCUAAAAUGAUUUCCCAAAAAUUUAGCAUACUGGAGAAAGUGAGAGACAUAAUUAAGUAGAUAUGCACUAUAACUGAUAUUUACUAAGUUGUCAUUGCAGGUGUUGAGAGUCUGGUUUUCCUCAACAAGUGGCGAUUUCAUAUCUUAGAAGAAGUCUCGCAUUAGUUCAAAUUUGAACUAAAACCAUAACACUUAUUUUGGAUCGAGGGAGUAUGAAUUUGGUAUUGAUUCUUGUGUUGAGUUCCUGCACAUUUGGAGCAAAUCGAGUAUAACAAUUAUCUUAGAUUGGUGAAUAAAGAUGAGUCAAGAUAAAUUAGCUGAGAAAUAAUAAAAGUUGGUCUUUCAUACCUGUCAACAAUUUCCCAAGUUUAUGGUAUAUCUAGAUCUGUAUAGAUUCUUAUGACACUUGACUUUAAGCAUAAUCAUGUUUAAUCAAAGUAAAUUCUGUUAGACAUAUUUUUAUAAUUAAUAGAAGAGCUUGUAACAUUAAUGAACUUACCAUUGAACUUCUGCACCAGUGAUGAGGAAUGGUUGUGCAUUAUGGACUUAAUCUUAUAUUAGAAUUCAAUCUGGCUGAAAUAUGAAGGUUCGGGGUUAUUUCUUUUUAUUAUUGAUUCCACAUGCUCCAUUUGGGUUGGUAAUCCAAUGACGUCUAUAAAAGCGGAGUUAAUUAUUUGAAAGUUUCAUCUAAUUUUUUUUCCUUUGUAGCAAACUCGAAGUAGUAAACUGGGUAACCUUCUGAUGAUCCUCUCACCUCCUUUACUUUUUUAAUGUAUGAAAAAUAACUAUAUUUCACUGCUUACUCGAAUAUACUUAUUCCACAAACUUAAAAUUGUUACAUAAAUAGAUUCUCAUUUAUCUUUGUUCUAUAUGUGUCUAUAAAUUAAACUACUUCCCGAUAGUCGCAAGAAUUGUUUGGCCAUGUGAAAACAAUCAAAACAUACUUAGUAGUUGUUGUAGAAAAUAACAGAACAGUUCGCAAGUAAAUAUAUGAUGACUAAACCUUUUCAUCGAUGAAUAUCAUACCGGCAUACUUAGUAGUUAAAACAAACAAUAGAACAAUCUGCUAAUAAAUAUGCAAUGGCAAAACCUUUUCAUCUAUGAAUAUCAUGCCGAGGUUCCAGAGCCAAUUAACUGUAGGAUUGAUUGAAUUUCAUAUUCUCAUUACUUGCACUUGAAUACAUAGUUUCGUCCUCCUGUUGUGAACUCGCUAUGCUUGUUGUAUGCCAUUGCUGCAAAAGGAUCACAAAAUCGCUAGUGAAUUAUUAAUAAUGCACCUAUGAAGAUUGUAUGCAGAAUAACAAUUACAAACCUUGAUGAUUCAGGCGAGAGGCUACUCAGAAGGUAGAUUGGAUCCAGAAUAACAAUUAGAAACCUUUAUGACUCAGGUGAGAAGCCACUCAGAAGGUUGCUUGGGCGUCACUACAUCUGGCUUGGUGACAUUACGUAGUUGAAUUGGAAGACUGAUUUUGUUGGUAGUGUGCUAGCUAGGUAGCAGAUUUGGCUGACUUCAAUUUUUGGGCAUGUGCUGGGUGCGGUUGCUUACGUAGUUGAAUUGGAAGACUGAUUUUGUUGGUAGUGUGCUAGCUAGGUAGCAGAUUUGGCUGACUUCAAUUUUUGGGCAUGUGCUGGGUGCGGUUGCAUGUAUGUGUUUUCAUGUGCCGUGUUUGCCUUGGCAAGUCAUGUUUGUACGUAGUCCGUAUACACGUCUUAUUUGCAUGCGUGUCCGAGUUUGAAAAAAAAUGAUGUCCUUAUUUGCUUAGGUUCCUUAUUUAUUUAUUUAUUUAUUUAUUUA